rnacentral:misc_RNA from 1 species
UCAAACUUGGUCAUUUAGAGGAAGUAAAAGUCGUAACAAGGUUUCCGUAGGUGAACCUGCGGAAGGAUCAUUAAUGAAUUUCGUAUCUGUGUGUGGUUGUUUGUGUUUUUAUUUAACUCAUUCGAUCAUUACUCAGGUAUACUCUCUCCUUCACACGUGCUCCGGUAGUGUUGUGUUUCCUUUGAAUAUUCUCUGAGUAUUCUUUGAAUUCCGACUCGACCGAUUGUUUUCUGCGUUUUUACUAUAUAUAUCUGAAUCUUUUUAGCGUUGGAAAGCCUUUCGGGGUUGACUGAUGCGCCAAACUGAAAAAACUAUGAACAACGGAUCUCUAGGCUCUUGCAUCGAUGAAGAACGCAGC